CUACGGGGGGCUCCAGUGGGGAAUAUUGCACAAUGGGCGCAAGCCUGAUGCAGCCAUGCCGCGUGUAUGAAGAAGGCCUUCGGGUUGUAAAGUACUUUCAGCGGGGAGGAAGGGAGUAAAGUUAAUACCUUUGCUCAUUGACGUUACCCGCAGAAGAAGCACCGGCUAACUCCGUGCCAGCAGCCGCGGUAAUACGGGAGGGUGCAAGCGUUAAUCGGAAUUACUGGGCGUAAAGCGCACGCAGGCGGUUUGUUAAGUCAGAUGUGAAAUCCCCGGGCUCAACCUGGGAACUGCAUCUGAUACUGGCAAGCUUGAGUCUCGUAGAGGGGGGUAGAAUUCCAGGUGUAGCGGUGACAUGCGUAGAGAUCUGGAGGAAUACCGGUGGCGAAGGCGGCCCCCUGGACGAAGACUGACGCUCAGGUGCGAAAGCGUGGGGAGCAAACAGGAUUAGAUACCCGUGUAGUC
rnacentral:rRNA from 1 species